GCUCAGAUUGAACGCUGGCGGUAUGCUUAACACAUGCAAGUCGAACGGAAACGAUACUAGCUUGCUAGUAGGCGUCGAGUGGCGGACGGGUGAGUAACGCGUAGGAAUCUGCCUGAUAGUGGGGGAUAGCCCGAAGAAAUUCGGAUUAAUACCGCAUAAUCUAUUCGUAGUAAAGUGGGGGACUUUCGAGCCUCACGCUAUCAGAUGAGCCUGCGUAAGAUUAGCUUGUUGGUAGGGUAAAAGCCUACCAAGGCGACGAUCUUUAGCUGGUCUGAGAGGAUGAUCAGCCACAUCGGGACUGAGACACGGCCCGAACUCCUACGGGAGGCAGCAGUGGGGAAUAUUGGACAAUGGGGGCAACCCUGAUCCAGCAAUACCGCGUGUGUGAAGAAGGCCUGAGGGUUGUAAAGCACUUUCAAUUGUGAAGAAAAGUUAGCGGUUAAUAACCGUUAGCCUUGACGUUAACUUUAGAAGAAGCACCGGCUAACUCCGUGCCAGCAGCCGCGGUAAUACGGAGGGUGCAAGCGUUAAUCGGAAUUACUGGGCGUAAAGCGUGCGUAGGCGGUUUAUUAAGUCAGAUGUGAAAGCCCCGGGCUUAACCUGGGAACUGCAUUUGAAACUGGUCAACUAGAGUAUGGUAGAGGAAAGUGGAAUUUCUGGUGUAGCGGUGAAAUGCGUAGAUAUCAGAAGGAACAUCAAUGGCGAAGGCAGCUUUCUGGACCAAUACUGACGCUGAGGUACGAAAGCGUGGGUAGCAAACAGGAUUAGAUACCCUGGUAGUCCACGCCGUAAACGAUGAUAACUAGCCGUUGGGGGGAUUUACCCCUUAGUGGCGAAGCUAACGCGUUAAGUUAUCCGCCUGGGGAGUACGGCCGCAAGGUUAAAACUCAAAGGAAUUGACGGGGACCCGCACAAGCGGUGGAGCAUGUGGUUUAAUUCGAUGCAACGCGAAGAACCUUACCUGGUCUUGACAUCCUGCGAACUUUCUAGAAAUAGAUUGGUGCCUUCGGGAACGCAGUGACAGGUGCUGCAUGGCUGUCGUCAGCUCGUGUCGUGAGAUGUUGGGUUAAGUCCCGUAACGAGCGCAACCCCUAUCCUUAUUUGCCAGCACAUCAUGGUGGGAACUAUAAGGAGACUGCCGGUGAUAAACCGGAGGAAGGCGGGGACGACGUCAAGUCAUCAUGGCCCUUACGACCAGGGCUACACACGUGCUACAAUGGGAAGGACAAAGAGCCGCGAAGCCGCGAGGUGUAGCUAAUCUCAUAAACCUUUUCGUAGUCCGGAUUGGAGUCUGCAACUCGACUCCAUGAAGUCGGAAUCGCUAGUAAUCGUAGAUCAGAAUGCUACGGUGAAUACGUUCCCGGGUCUUGUACACACCGCCCGUCAUACCAUGGGAGUGGGUUGCACCAGAAGUGGCUAGUCUAAC
rnacentral:rRNA from 2 species